UACACAUGCAAGUCGAGCGGAUGAAGGGAGCUUGCUCCUGGAUUCAGCGGCGGACGGGUGAGUAAUGCCUAGGAAUCUGCCUGGUAGUGGGGGAUAACGUCCGGAAACGGGCGCUAAUACCGCAUACGUCCUGAGGGAGAAAGUGGGGGAUCUUCGGACCUCACGCUAUCAGAUGAGCCUAGGUCGGAUUAGCUAGUUGGUGGGGUAAAGGCCUACCAAGGCGACGAUCCGUAACUGGUCUGAGAGGAUGAUCAGUCACACUGGAACUGAGACACGGUCCAGACUCCUACGGGAGGCAGCAGUGGGGAAUAUUGGACAAUGGGCGAAAGCCUGAUCCAGCCAUGCCGCGUGUGUGAAGAAGGUCUUCGGAUUGUAAAGCACUUUAAGUUGGGAGGAAGGGCAGUAAGUUAAUACCUUGCUGUUUUGACGUUACCAACAGAAUAAGCACCGGCUAACUUCGUGCCAGCAGCCGCGGUAAUACGAAGGGUGCAAGCGUUAAUCGGAAUUACUGGGCGUAAAGCGCGCGUAGGUGGUUCAGCAAGUUGGAUGUGAAAUCCCCGGGCUCAACCUGGGAACUGCAUCCAAAACUACUGAGCUAGAGUACGGUAGAGGGUGGUGGAAUUUCCUGUGUAGCGUUGAAAUGCAUAGAUGUAGUGAAGGAACGCCUGUGCCUAUGGCGACCACUUGCGACUGAUACUGUGACUGAUGUGCGAUAGCGAGCGUGUCAUGCCAGGAUGCGAUAUCCUUGUCGGCUCACAUGGCGUUAAGCAAUGGGCACGAGCCUGUGGGGAUCCUUCCAGCAUCCUAGCUGCCAGCACCUAACCUCGCAUCGUCGACUCGUCUUGGGGGAGGCCGGUCACCUCGCCCCUUAACUGGCAUGUGUUAUUGGUAUAGUCUGCCACAC
rnacentral:rRNA from 1 species